GGAGCCAGGAAGGGGAAGUCAUCUGGCUGGGCACAGAGGCAAGGCACUGACCCCAACAAACUCCUGUUCACACCUCAGCGGCUGAGAAGCCAGAGGGCUCGGGACUCCAGGUGGGCUCAGAGGCCUCCUCCCUGGCCUGGAACCCAGGGAGCCCCAGCCCCUCAGCUUCCUGCCCGGUGCAUCAUCAGGGUGAGACCCCAAGGGGAGAGGUGGGGCUCGGUGGACUGACUGCAGCGAGGUCAUGAGACGGGGUGGACCACCGGAAACUACUCCCCAACCAGGCCCCAGCCCUCACUUGGACUCAGGGUCAUGAGGCUGGUCACCUGCCUGCCCCAUUCCAGGACUGACCAUGGCCAGAAAACUGGGCUUCUGGGGACCCUCCCCAUAGACGUCCACUGCCAAGCCUUUCGCUGCCUGGGGCCUUGGGAGAUCCCAGGCCUCAGGACACACAGGUAGGGGAGGGCAUCAGAGCCUACCAGGCCUGGCCUGUGCUUCCUCUCCCCGUGGCCACCCACUUCUAUAUCCUGACCAUCUCUGUCCUUCCAACUGCCUCUGGGCAUCCCCCCAACAUUCCGCAGAGCCCUCAAACCCAAUGCAUCAGGCGGGGUCCCCCGGCCCAGCCAUCCUGGCCACCCUCUGGGUAGCAGAGUGUCAGGAAGGCACUCCUGCCGAGGUUGAAACCACAGUGUCCUGCUGUGGCCUUCACUCUCCUCCUGCUCACUACUGCCCCAUCCUUCCUCCAUGACAGGGGCCUUUCUCAGAAGCCCUGGGGCUGCUCAGACCACAGCAGGAGCCAGGUGGGGGCAGGGGGAGGCGCCAUCGGCCUCAGCAGUUCCUCUGCUGGUGUCUGAGUGGGCGGUGGGCGCUAACCCACCAGCGGCCACUGCUUCCCCUCACAAACGCUGUGGGGCCGAGAAACUGGAAAUAAAAGCAGUUCGCAGCUCACAGCUGCAGUGUCACAGGCGUCCCCUCCUCUGCCCACUUUGGGCAGGAGUCUUGCCCAGCACUGAGCGGCACCCAGGGCCAACAGCGUAGGUGGAUGUUAAGGGAGGCCUGGCCUUUUUUGGAGGAGAUUCAGCCCGCCUGGCUACUCCCAUAGGAAAGGGGGCAGGUGUGUGGACAGAGCCGGCCCAUUGUCAUCAAUGCCAUUAUUAUUAUCUAACGCACUAUCAUCUAAUCAUAAUCCUUACCGGUGUUGUCCAAUUUAGAUAUAUCAACCCCAUGAGAUCAGUAGUAGGCUCCCAUUUCACAGGGGAGAAGGUGGAGGCAGGGAGGGAGGCCUGUUUACACAGCAUGACUUGGCUGGACAGGGUUUGGAGGCUCAGGCUGCAGGAAGCUCGUGCCUUCAGCUACGAGGCAUGAAGAUUUGUCUUCCUCUGGGUUGGGGGCCACAAACUGCAGCCCCAGCACAUGCACAACUGUGCAGUCCCACCCCCGCAGGAGGGCUGGAUGUAGAGGGGGAGGAUGCCCCUGGGGCAGAGAGGCUGAGUUGGAGUCCCUACCUUCAGGGGACACUUGCCCCUCCUCUCCCCAGGCCCUCUGUGGCCAUCUGCCUGCCUUGACCUCUGGGCCUCCUGUCUGGUCUCCAGGGAGCACAAGGUGCCACCUGGUGGCGAUUUGGGGGCAUUGCAGUCGCUGUCCACAGAUGCUCAGUGCCCCUUGCUGCCCUCCUGGCUGAGGUGUGUGAUUUCCGCCACAUGGAGACCUACAGAACAGGGGACUUCUCUUCUUCCUGCCAGAUUCCAACAGGGUGGGGCCCGGCGUAAACCCUUGUGCUGUGGGGCCUGGGCUGCAGGUGGCCGUGGCAGGUGCUGGACAGCCAGGCCUCCUGCAGACCCCGCCCCCUUCUCCCCCACUCCUGCCAUGGCUAGGCCCACUCCUGCUCUCCCUGUCAGGCUCCACUGGCCUCGGGACAUCCCCUCUGGGCCAGGAGUCCUCCCUGACCCAGCUCCCUCCCCUCCUGACCUGCCCCCGCCUGCGCUUCCUUCUUGCCGAGGUUUCUCUUCCCCUGGUGGCUGGUGGCUGGUGGUUGGUGGCUCGCCCGGGGCAGAUGUCCUGAAGUCACUGUCCGUGAGACCCUCAAGGACAGGGUGAGCGGUUCACUUGUUCCUUCAACAUGUGGUCAACCAGGUGCGGUGGCCCUGCCUACAAUCCCAGCUCCUCAGGAGGCCGAGGCAGGAAGAUCACAAGGGUCCAGCCUGGACAGCUCAGCGAGACCCGCCUUGGCAUAGAAGUAGAAAGGGCUGGGAUCCAGCUGAGAGGAAGCGCCCUUGGUUCACUCCCUAGUAACAAACAGAACCCAUGUUGUCAAAGGCCACCAGACAUGGUCACACUUGAUAUUCGGUGGCAUUUCAUACGAAGGCUGCAUCCAGUCUCCUGAGGAUACAGCAGUGGCCAGCAUCCCUGCCCUGGAGGGUGUUCCGGUGGGGUCGGGAGCAGAGGAUACGAAGGCACCUCUACUGUCUGUCCUCGACACCUGCCCAAGCCUGGCUGUCACCACCUCCGGCCGUGGCUCGGGUACCUCCCAGGAUCUUGGUGCAGGGAAAUGAACCCCACCCCAAGAUGUGGGGUCGAAGACUUAAAAUGUGCACUGGAUGUGCUCCGGGCUUGCAGCCACGACCAUGGCUCCCCACAGCACAUCCCCCUUCCAGCUGAGCCCAAAGCCGAGGACGCCUUGCCCACUUGGAUUAUCCAACAGCAGGUGGUGGCCUAAAAAACUAUGGUACUGCGACAAAAAAGUGUGCCAUCAUCGGAAAUCAUGGAGAGCAUUUAAUGAUGGGGGGAAACGCACAGGAUGUGAGACAUUAAAAAACAACAACAACAAAAAACCUGUCUUGAAAAAACAACCAGCCGCCCAACAGGGUCCCAAUUUUAUUAAACAAAUACAGGUGUCUUCAUUGACUCCCUCACAACCGCCUCCCAAGCACACGCAGCUCCUGCGGCGGAGCCUGAGGGGCGGGGCCAGGCUUCGGGUCAGGAAGCCUGGCCCCGACGUUGAGAUACCCGAGCUGAAGAGGAAAGAGGGACGCCCUGGAGGGACCCCCGCUGCCGGAGGAGGUGGUACCUGAGCCAACACUGAAGGACACUCAGCUGGAUGGGGGCGGGGACCUGGAGGCUGCAGAAAGCUCAGCCAGUUUGGGGACAGCAAGUGCCCAGGCAGUGGUCAGGGCUAAACUGGGGACCCGACUGUGACAGAUGGGCUAGAGCGGGACCCAUCCCCUGUCCCUCUCUCAUGACCUGUCAGUUCUGCAAAGGAAGGAAAUGAGGGCAAGAAGAACAGGGGUGGUCAGAAAACCCUUCUGUGGAGGGGAGGGCAGGGCUGAGACCUGCAGGGAGAGCGUGGGGAGGGGGCCUGGGUGGGAGAGUGGACUGCAGCGAGCCACUGUCCUGGACGGGGUUGUCCUUGGGCAGGGUGUUCUGGAAUUUUUAUUUUUGUUUUUUGGUGGUGUUGGGGAUUGAACACAGGGCUUUGUGCAUGCAAGGCAAGCACUCCACCCACUGAGUGAUCACCAGGCAACCACCAGCCACUUUCAGGAUUCUUUAUAGGGCCCCUGUUUGCCUAUGGGACUCUGAGGCAUCCAGAAUCAGCCUGGUCAGCAGUUCUUACAGCCCAAUCUUCCCACAGGUGCCAGCGGGAGCCGCCCAAGCACCAGGUUCCAUCCUGAGGACACGGUCUGGUCGACCAGAUGCUCUGGGCAGGUCAGAGCCAGCUCUGCAAGGCAAAAUCAAGAACCCAGGACAGGGCUGCCGUCCAGCUCAGUGUCCCCCACCUACAUGGCACACGUGGCCUCUGCUGGUCCCAGGCACUGAGGAAGAUGCCCUUUUGAAGAACCCCUGAGAUUGUUACUGAGGGAAAAUAAACCCUUUUGCUUCA